UUUUCUUGGCACUAGAUUAGUUUACGUGCAAUUUGCUUAGCUUAAACGAAUAGGAAGUGGAUUAUUGAGAAAAUAACAUAUAUAGCAGAUAGGAGGAUCACAGUUCAGUCCAAGACAAAAGCUCAAACAUAGUUUGGAAUCUUGAGCAUAUAGCAAGGUAUUGAAAGACUACCGUACGAGACCGCUUUCCGGACGUAACGGACUAGACGAAGACACUAAACGUGAGUAACUAUACAAGCCAACAGACAUUGUACUGCGAAUUGCUCAUUUUUAUGUAUUUAAAC